GUGGGUACUGGCCUCGGUGCUGGUGGAGCAGUGAGCACGCCAUACAUUAUAUGUGUGACACCUGCCACCCAGCCCAAGGCCCCUAGGCCCAC
ensembl:miRNA